GAUGAACGCUAGCGACAGGCCUAACACAUGCAAGUCGAGGGGCAGCAUUAUUAAAGCUUGCUUUAAUAGAUGGCGACCGGCGCACGGGUGCGUAACGCGUAUGCAACCUACCCAUUACAGGAGGAUAGCCCAGAGAAAUUUGGAUUAAUACUCCAUAGUAUUUACUGAAAGCAUUUUUAGUAUUUUAAAAGAUUCGUCUGGUAAUGGAUGGGCAUGCGUAUGAUUAGUUAGUUGGUGGGGUAACGGCCUACCAAGACGACGAUCAUUAGGGGUUCUGAGAGGAUAGUCCCCCACACUGGUACUGAGACACGGACCAGACUCCUACGGGAGGCAGCAGUGAGGAAUAUUGGUCAAUGGGCGAGAGCCUGAACCAGCCAAGUCGCGUGCAGGACGACUGCCCUAUGGGUUGUAAACUGCUUUUAUAUAGGAAUAAUUGUUUUUACGUGUAAGAAUUUGAAUGUACUAUAUGAAUAAGCACCGGCUAACUCCGUGCCAGCAGCCGCGGUAAUACGGAGGGUGCAAGCGUUAUCCGGAUUUAUUGGGUUUAAAGGGUGCGUAGGCGGGUUCAUAAGUCAGUGGUGAAAGUCUGUCGCUUAACGAUAGAAUUGCCAUUGAAACUGUGGAUCUUGAAUACAGUAGAGGUAGGCGGAAUAUAUUGUGUAGCGGUGAAAUGCAUAGAUACGAUAUAGAACACCUAUUGCGAAGGCAGCUUACUAUGCUGUAAUUGACGCUGAUGCACGAAAGCGUGGGGAGCGAACAGG
rnacentral:rRNA from 1 species